rnacentral:ncRNA from 2 species
CCUGCCGAGGAGCGCUGCGACCCCCUGAUCGAUCCGGGGCCAGGCUCGGCAACCGAUCAACGGCGCUCACAAACC